rnacentral:tRNA from 1 species
GAGGGUGUAGCUCAGUGGUAGAGCACGUGUCUAGCAUGCACGAGGUCCUGGGUUCCAUCCCCAGUAACCCCA